AUUGAACGCUGGCGGCAUGCCUUACACAUGCAAGUCGAACGGCAGCACGGGAGCAAUCCUGGUGGCGAGUGGCGAACGGGUGAGUAAUAUAUCGGAACGUGCCCAGUAGUGGGGGAUAACUGCUCGAAAGAGCAGCUAAUACCGCAUACGACCUGAGGGUGAAAGGGGGGGAUCGCAAGACCUCUCGCUAUUGGAGCGGCCGAUAUCAGAUUAGCUAGUUGGUGGGGUAAAGGCCUACCAAGGCAACGAUCUGUAGUUGGUCUGAGAGGACGACCAGCCACACUGGGACUGAGACACGGCCCAGACUCCUACGGGAGGCAGCAGUGGGGAAUUUUGGACAAUGGGCGCAAGCCUGAUCCAGCAAUGCCGCGUGCAGGAAGAAGGCCUUCGGGUUGUAAACUGCUUUUGUCAGGGAAGAAAUCCUCUAGGUUAAUACCCUUGGGGGGAUGACGGUACCUGAAGAAUAAGCACCGGCUAAUUACGUGCCAGCCGCCGCGGUAAAAC
rnacentral:rRNA from 1 species